GAUGAACGCUGGCGGCGUGCCUAAUACAUGCAAGUCGAGCGAACAGACGAGGAGCUUGCUCCUCUGACGUUAGCGGCGGACGGGUGAGUAACACGUGGAUAACCUACCUAUAAGACUGGGAUAACUUCGGGAAACCGGAGCUAAUACCGGAUAAUAUAUUGAACCGCAUGGUUCAAUAGUGAAAGACGGUUUUGCUGUCACUUAUAGAUGGAUCCGCGCCGCAUUAGCUAGUUGGUAAGGUAACGGCUUACCAAGGCAACGAUGCGUAGCCGACCUGAGAGGGUGAUCGGCCACACUGGAACUGAGACACGGUCCAGACUCCUACGGGAGGCAGCAGUAGGGAAUCUUCCACAAUGGGCGAAAGCCUGACGGAGCAACGCCGCGUGAGUGAUGAAGGUCUUCGGAUCGUAAAACUCCGUUAUUAGGGAAGAACAAAUGUGUAAGUAACUAUGCACGUCUUGACGGUACCUAAUCAGAAAGCCACGGCUAACUACGUG
rnacentral:rRNA from 1 species